UGUUCGGAGCACCUACUGCGUUCCGGUUUGGGUACCUGAGUUCUGCACAAAAAGCCACAGGGCAAGGCACAGAAAUCGCCAGCAAUGAUGGGCUGUGGGAGGAAGCAGUGAGCCAGGGGGCUGGUCCUGCACCCCAUGCUUGGCACAUCUCCCCAGCACAGCAUGGCCAGGAUGAGGCCAUCGGUCCCUCCACGCCGCCAC